AGCGGAGGAAAAGAAAAUAACAAUGAUUGCCCCAGUAACGGCGAGUGAAGCGGCAAAAGCCCAUUUUGGUAAUCCUUCGGGAGUUGUUGGGUGAAGUCGGAGUGCCCUGUUUGCCUGGUGCCGAAGUGUCCUGGAAUGGAACGCCGUGGAGGGUGACAGUCCCGUAGGCGCUGGGUGUUGCGUUGGGUGCCCGCUUUAGAGUCGGGUUGUUUUGUAUUGCAGCCCUAAUCGGGAGAUAGACUUCUUCUAAGGCUAAAUAUGUGUGGGAAACCGAUAGCGAACAAGUACUGUGAAGGAAAGAUGAAAAGAACUUUGAAAAGAGAGUCAAAAGACUUGAAAUUGUUGAGAAGGAAGCGGUAGAAAUUUAUUCUUCGGCUUGGGGUGCAGGUUUCCGCUCUGGCGGUUGCUGAAGCCCAGGUUGAGAGGCAAGAUGGGGCGUUCUUCCCUGAUGAGCUGUUUAGGUUUGGGCUGGUUCGCUAGUCAGCCUUUUCGUGCUCGGGGGAGGGCCGUCUGAGGGUGCUUUUGCGAUUUUGCUUAAAUGGUUUUUACCGACCCGUCUCGAAACACGGACCAAGGAGUCUACCUCAUGUGCAAGUGUGCUGGUGGUAAACCGACACGCGUAAUGAAAGUGAUUGAUGCCAACUUUGCAGCAUCGACCAACCAUGAUCCUCCGGUGAAAGGUUUGAGUAGGAGCACAUGUGUUAGGACCCGAAAGAUGGUGAACUAUGCCUGAGUAGGGUGAAGCCAGGGGAAACUCUGGUGGAAGCUCGCAGCGAUUCUGACGUGCAAAUCGAUCGUCAAACUUGGGUAUAGGGGCGAAAGACUAAUCGAACCAUCUAGUAGCUGGUUCCCUCCGAAGUUUCCCUUAGGAUAGCUGGGACAAUUACGCAGUUUUAUCAGGUAAAGCGAAUGAUUAGAGGUAUCUGGGGUAAUUUGCCCUGGACCUAUUCUCAAACUUUAAAUUGGUAAGUACUUCGGCCUGUCUUAAUUGAGGUUGGAGGUUCAAUGCAUGUCCCUAGUGGGCCAUUUUUGGUAAGCAGAACUGGCGAUGAGGGUUGCUCCUAACGUCGGGUUAAGGUGCCUAACUGCACGCUCAUCGGAUCCUACAAAGGGUGUUGGUUCAUUAAGAC
rnacentral:rRNA from 1 species